UGAGAGGUUGGUGCGGGCGAGCGCUCCGCCAACCCGGUCAGAUCCGGAAGGAAGCAGCCGUAACGGUUCCCGCUUGGGUCGUUAUCCAGCCUCUCACCU
rnacentral:SRP_RNA from 1 species